AGCGAACGCUGGCGGCAGGCUUAACACAUGCAAGUCGAACGCCCCGCAAGGGGAGUGGCAGACGGGUGAGGAACACGUGGGAACGUACCCUUCGGUUCGGAAUAACUCAGGGAAACUUGUGCUAAUACCGGAUACGUCCGAAAGGAGAAAGAUUUAUCGCCGAAGGAUCGGCCCGCGUCUGAUUAGCUUGUUGGUGAGGUAACGGCUCACCAAGGCGACGAUCAGUAGCUGGUCUGAGAGGAUGAUCAGCCACACUGGGACUGAGACACGGCCCAGACUCCUACGGGAGGCAGCAGUGGGGAAUAUUGGACAAUGGGGGCAACCCUGAUCCAGCCAUGCCGCGUGAGUGAUGAAGGCCUUAGGGUUGUAAAGCUCUUUUGUCCGGGAAGAUAAUGACGGUACCGGAAGAAUAAGCCCCGGCUAACUUCGUGCCAGCAGCCGCGGUAAUACGAAGGGGGCUAGCGUUGCUCGGAAUCACUGGGCGUAAAGCGCACGUAGGCGGGCUUUUAAGUCGGAGGUGAAAUCCCAGGGCUCAACCCUGGAACUGCCUUCGAUACUGGAAGUCUUGAGUCCGGAAGAGGUGAGUGGAACUCCGAGUGUAGAGGUGAAAUUCGUAGAUAUUCGGAAGAACACCAGUGGCGAAGGCGGCUCAC
rnacentral:rRNA from 1 species